rnacentral:lncRNA from 10 species
GCAGCUGCGACUAGCGGAAAGCGCGCGCCAGCUGCACGCAGGGAAACAGUUCUCAUUUUGUGUGCUCGGCUGACUGCACGUCCAGCCUCGGGCCAGCUCGAGACGGCCACAUUGCCUGGUUGAAGAUGGCUGAGCGUAAAACAGAAUGCAAGUCAGCUGGAGCACGUACUACUGGAGGCAGAGCCCCAUGAGAAGGGGCCAAGAACCCGCACCCAUCAAAAUCAAGAAGAAAGGCUGAACCCGGAGAGAAAAGGGAGCAACUGAUGUUGCCAUGCAGAUCCCUUGGUUGCUAUGAGAUGGUAACAUCACUCUGCCCCACCAUUGGCCAGUGCCUCCUCAGCUGCGGUGCCUCCCAGGCUGUGUGGUUCUCACGCGGGCCACUGACACAGAGCUGUUACUAUGGUGAACUUUACAAUUUCCUUUGAUUGGUGGAUUUCAGAAAUAGGCCAUCAGCGGAAUUCAUUAUAUUCAGCUAACCUGGCUCAGCUUCUCAGCUUCUCAGGUGGAUUGGUGAGUCCUGGCCAAUUACGCUUCAGCUCAUCUCUACUCUCAGCAAAUAGGAAAAGGGAGUGAAGGACUGAGUUUUAACUCUUCUAAUUUCGUAACCUGACUCUCUAUAAGAAAAAGUAGGAGAAAGACUGAAGAACCCGAGAGAACAGGCCUCUGAGCCCAAGCCAAGCCAUCGCAUCCCCUGUGACUUGCCCGUAUAUAUGCCCAGAUGGCCUGAAGUAACUGAAGAAUCACAAAAGAAGUGAAUAUGCCUUGCCCCACCUUGACUGAUGACAUUCCACCACAAAAGAAGUGUAAAUGGCCGGUCCUUGCCUUAACUGAUGACAUUACCUUGUGAAAGUCCUUUUCCUGGCUCAUCCUGGCUCAAAAAGCACCCCCACUGAGCAUCUUGCGACUCCCACUCCUGCCCACUGAGCACCUUGUGACCCCCACUCCUGCCUGCCAGAGAACAAACCCCCUUUGACUGUAAUUUUCCUUUACCUACCCAAAUCCUAUAAAACGGCUCCACCCUUAUCUCCUUUUGCUGACUCUCUUUUCUGACUCAGCCCGCCUGCACCCAGGAGAUUAAAAGCUUUAUUGCUCACACA